ensembl:lncRNA
AGAGAAAGCAAAUAAGUCAUAGUGUCCACCCAGAAGGUGGGCCUCUCCUCAGGGGAGAAAGUCACCUGUGCUCCUAGUUUGGAGAGCAAGUCUCUUCCCAACAGGGGUACUGGGCACUCGGGAACACAGAGGAAUUCAUGAAGCACUUGGUGCCCCCUCAUCUGGCAUUUUCUGGGCUGGCAGAACGAUCUAAUCACGUCUUCUCCCGAUACCCAGGUACAGCGGUAGUCUUUUUGGACAGUGGUGCCACAGGUUUUACUGCCGACACUUCGGCUCCUGUAUCCACCGUGAAGUCAAUGUUUUGGUCCCCCACUUGUAAGGCCACCGUGGGCUCUCGGGGACCUGGUAUCUCUGAGCCCCGGCAGCCCUAUUUAAUUUCCAAGUCAGCAAGCCCCACCACUGCGGGCGCUUCCUCUGCCUUCCUUGCCUCAGGCGUUCAUUCUUCCAGCGGCCAAAAGCUCCGCACCGGGCUCACUGGUGUGGCUGUAACGGGGCCCAGGGCUUCUGUUGGGACCGGUUGAAGGGCUGUCCUGUCCCUGGGGCAGGAGGCGGUUUUGAGGAGGGCCCGAGAUAGACUUUCCCAGAGCAGCAGCUAGCAUUGCAAACCUCGUCUGUUCUUUCGUUCCCUCUGGCUCUCUGGCAGAGCGCAGUUUCUGCUUAAUUCCAACAUCUCCCUCCCCUUCUUGUCAGUACUCACCGGGAGAGGCGGAGAGGCGGGUAUAGCUUGGGCGGUUCGGCUGGAGCCGGAUCCUGGAAGUGUUGGCCAGAGGCUUCUGUCACCGGGAUUCGAGCCUGCGGAGGUGGUGGCUCUAUGACCUCGGGGAGAGCUGGCGGAGGAGCAGCGGCUGCUGCAGGAACUUCACCUGGCCCUGGAUCGGGAAUUAAGGCGGCCUCCGGUCCUGGUGGAGCACUGGGAGGCAGGCACUAAACACAGAGUUCAGAGUCCAUUGGAAAGGUGGCCGAGCAUGAUCAGCAUGAACAGGCCUAAGAUGGAGUCCUAUGAAUUCCUUCUUCAGUCUUAUAUGAUUUUACACAGGGUGGUGGUGAUGAAAGCAAAUCCACAUUUUAAGGCAAGACGAGAAAAAUGUAAACAAACAUCACCAGCAUCAGAACGCUCUCAUCUUGUGAUCAAGGAGCUGAGCUGUCACUUCCGCCAGGAGGGAAAAGGCCCACGCUGCCCAUCGCAGAUCUGUGCAUGGUCGCUAUACAGGAUACAGCACAGCCCAGAACUUUCAGAAACCCGGGUCACGGCGCCACCCUAGCACAGUCCCGUUACAGCACGCUUUGAGCGUUCUUGCUUCCACGCUCAGAGGUUCUGCAGCCAAUAUGUGUGGAGGGCGUCCCCAGACACCGGCGGUUCUCAGACACAGUUGGGUCAGCUCAAGCCAGUCCUGACUCCAUCUCCCUGGACGCAGCGAGACUUCGCCCCCAAGAGACUCCCACUUCAGACACCAGCUGGCGGUCCUCAGUGGAGCCCUGUUCUGCCACUGUCUCCCUCAGGUUAAGGGUGUGGUCCUGAGAGGCUCUCCCCGCCCCCAGCCUCAGGUGGGCAUGUGUGGUCCUGACCCACCAGCUGCAGAGCAGAGCGACUCCCGCCACCCUCGCCGACCACCCCGCCACAACCCUCUCUGCAGGUCCAGUUACUUUGCCAGAGGAGCUCACAGAAUUCAGGAACACUUUACUUGCUAGAUCGGAGGUUUUUUCCUUAUAUUAAUAAAAGGGUGUGACUCAGGAACAUGCAGGUGGAAGAGACACAGUGGCAGGUGGGAGGAUCCCAAGCUCCCACACCUUCCCCAGGCCCCCCUUCUCUCGCAGUCUCCCCCCUGCAGGUGGGAGGAUCCCAAGCUCCCACACCUUCCCCAGGCCCCCCCUUCUCUCGCAGUCUCCCCCCUACGGAGGCUCUCUGGGCCCCUCCUUUGGGGCUUCCCUGGAGGAUUCCUUCCCCAGCAUAACUGACUUGCCUCUGGCGACUGAUCACACCUCCAGCCCCUCCCCUCCCCGAAGGCCAGGGGCUGGGACCCUCGUUCUGAGCUCUGGUCACAUGGUGGCUCCCCUGGCGGCCGGUGGCCCCUCCUCUUGGGUAAGAUUUCCCGGAGUCACCUCAUCUGCAGGACAAAAAACACCUUCAUCCCGCUCACCAAAGGGAAUUCCAAGGGUUUAAGGAGCUCUUUGCUGGGAACCGCAGAUGAAAAUCAAGUGUGUAUCUUACAAAUAAAUCACACUGUCACAGAUGCUGACACUGACAAUGUAUGACAAGCCCACUUGGCAUUCAUCUUUUUAACACC